rnacentral:rRNA from 1 species
UACGUAGGGUGCAAGCGUUAAUCGGAAUUACUGGGCGUAAAGCGUGCGCAGGCGGCUUUGCAAGACAGAUGUGAAAUCCCCGGGCUCAACCUGGGAACUGCAUUUGUGACUGCAAGGCUGGAGUACGGUAGAGGGGGAUGGAAUUCCGCGUGUAGCAGUGAAAUGCGUAGAUAUGCGGAGGAACACCGAUGGCGAAGGCAGUCCCCUGGACAUGUACUGACGCUCAUGCACGAAAGCGUGGGGAGCAAACAGG